AUUGAACGCUGGCGGCAUGCUUUACACAUGCAAGUCGAACGGUAACAGGCCUUCGGGUGCUGACGAGUGGCGAACGGGUGAGUAAUGCAUCGGAACGUGCCCAGAGGUGGGGGAUAACGCAGCGAAAGCUGUGCUAAUACCGCAUGUGAUCUGAGGAUGAAAGCGGGGGACCAGGCAGCAAUGUUUGGCCUCGCGCCUUUGGAGCGGCCGAUGUCAGGUUAGGUAGUUGGUGGGGUAAAGGCCUACCAAGCCGACGAUCUGUAGCUGGUCUGAGAGGACGACCGGCCACACUGGGGCUGAGACACGGCCCAGACUCCUACGGGAGGCAGCAGUGGGGAAUUUUGGACAAUGGGCGCAAGCCUGAUCCAGCAAUGCCGCGUGCGGGAAGAAGGCCUUCGGGUUGUAAACCGCUUUUGUACGGAACGAAAAGGCUCUGGCUAAUACCUGGGGCUGAUGACGGUACCGUAAGAAUAAGCACCGGCUAACUACGUG
rnacentral:rRNA from 1 species